AAACAGAUUAAUAUUUCUGUACUCGAUAUAAUUGCGAUGGGGGGACGGAGCAGGCUAAACAAGCAUGGCGUUGGUAGUCCAUGUGAAAGUGAGUAGGUUGGCGACUUAGGUAAAUCCGGGUUGCUUUAAGACUGAGACACGAGACGAGUCACUACGGUGAUGAAGUUGUUGAUGCCAUACUUCCAGGAAAAGCCUCUAAGCUUCAGAUUAUAUGGAAUCGUACCCCA
rnacentral:rRNA from 1 species